GAUGAAGAACGUAGCGAAAUGCGAUAAGUAGUGUGAAUUGCAGAAUUCAGUGAAUCAUCGAAUCUUUGAACGCACAUUGCGCCCCUUGGUAUUCCAUGGGGCAUGCCUGUUCGAGCGUCAUUUGUACCCUCAAGCUCUGCUUGGUGUUGGGUGUUUGUUCCGCCUCUGUGUGUGAACUCGCCUCAAAACAAUUGGCAGCCGGCGUACUUGUUUCGGAGCGCAGCACAUUUUGCGAUCCAGAUCAACGUACAGCGGCAUCCAAGAAGCCUUAUUUAACGCUCUUGACCUCGGAUCAGGUAGGGAUACCCGCUGAACUUAAGCAUAUCAAUAAGCGGAGGA
rnacentral:misc_RNA from 1 species